rnacentral:rRNA from 1 species
AAUGAACGUUGGCGGCGUGGAUUAGGCAUGCAAGUCGAGCGAGAACCCAGCAAUGGGGGACAGCGGCGUAAGGGACAGUAAUGUGUAGAUUAUCUGCCCUCGGGACCGGGAUAGCUGCGGGAAACUGCAGGUAAUACCGGAUAACAUCUCCGGAUCAAAGGUGUGAUUCCGCCCGAGGAUGAGUCUGCAUCCUAUUAGCUAGUUGGCAGGGUAAUGGCCUACCAAGGCUUUGAUGGGUAGCGGGUGUGAGAGCACGACCCGCGUCAUUGGGACUGAGACACUGCCCAGACACCUACGGGUGGCUGCAGUCGAGGAUCUUCGGCAAUGGGCGCAAGCCUGACCGAGCGACGCCGCGUGUGGGAUGAAGGCCUUCGGGUUGUAAACCACUGUUAGAGGGGGUGAAAUGCAGGUGGGUUCUCCCAUCUGUUUGACAUAGCCUCAGAGGAAGGACGGGCUAAGUUCGUGCCAGCCGCCGCCGUAA